rnacentral:rRNA from 1 species
UACGGAGGGGGCAAGCGUUAUUCGGAAUUAUUGGGCGUAAAGGGCGCGUAGGCGGCUAGAUGUGUCAAAGGUGAGAUCCCUCGGCUCAACUGAGGAACUGCCUUUGAAACUGUCUGGCUUGAGGCCGGGAGAGGGUAGCGGAAUUCCCAGUGUAGCGGUGAAAUGCGUAGAUAUUGGGAGGAACACCAGUGGCGAAGGCGGCUACCUGGACCGGUUCUGACGCUGAGGCGCGAAAGCGUGGGUAGCAAACAGG